rnacentral:rRNA from 1 species
AACGAACGCUGGCGGCAGGCCUAACACAUGCAAGUCGAGCGCCCCGCAAGGGGAGCGGCGGACGGGUGAGUAACGCGUGGGAACGUACCCUUUGCUACGGAAUAGCCUCGGGAAACUGGGAGUAAUACCGUAUGUGCCCUUCGGGGGAAAGAUUUAUCGGCAAAGGAUCGGCCCGCGUUGGAUUAGGUAGUUGGUGGGGUAAUGGCCUACCAAGCCGACGAUCCAUAGCUGGUUUGAGAGGAUGAUCAGCCACACUGGGACUGAGACACGGUCCAGACUCCUACGGGAGGCAGCAGUGGGGAAUAUUGGGCAAUGGGGGAAACCCUGACCCAGCAACGCCGCGUGAGGGAAGAAGGCCUUCGGGUUGUAAACCUCUGUCGCAGGGGACGAAGGAUAUGACGGUACCCUGUGAGGAAGCCCCGGCUAACUACGUG